CCCUUAGAUGUUCUGGGCCGCACGCGCGCUACACUGACGGAGUCAACGAGUUGUCCUGCAUCGGAAGGUGUGGGUAAUCUUUUGAAACUUCGUCGUGCUGGGGAUAGAUCUUUGCAAUUUUCGAUCUUGAACGAGGAAUUCCUAGUAAGCGUGAUUCAUCAGAUCGCGUUGAUUACGUCCCUGCCCUUUGUACACACCGCCCAUCGCUACUACCGAUUGAAUGGUUUAGUGAGGCCUCGGGACUGGCGCGCUCGAGUAGCAAUACACCUGCGCGCCGGGAACUUGGUCAAACUUGAUCAUUUAGAGGAAGUAAAAGUCGUAACA
rnacentral:rRNA from 1 species